rnacentral:rRNA from 1 species
UACAGAGGGUGCGAGCGUGUUCGGAAUUAUUGGGCGUAAAGGGCGCGUAGGCGGUGCGGUAAGUCACCUGUGAAAUCUCCUGGCUCAACUGGGAGCUUGCAGGCGAAACUGCCGUGCUGGAGUGUGGGAGAGGUGCGUGGAAUUCCUGGUGUAGCGGUGAAAAUGCGUAGAUAUCAGGAGGAACACCUGUGGCGAAAGCGGCGCACUGGACCACAACUGACGCUGAGGCGCGAAAGCUAGGGGAGCAAACAGGA